GUGAGGAAUAUUGGUCAAUGGACGAGAGUCUGAACCAGCCAAGUCGCGUGCGGGAAGAAUGUCCUAUGGAUUGUAAACUGCUUUUGCAGGGGAAUAAAGUGCAUCACGUGUGAUGUUUUGUAUGUACUCUGCGAAUAAGGAUCGGCUAACUCCGUGCCAGCAGCCGCGGUAAUACGGAGGAUCCGAGCGUUAUCCGGAUUUAUUGGGUUUAAAGGGUGCGUAGGCGGGAUAAUAAGUCAGUGGUGAAAGUUUGCAGCUUAACUGUAAAAUUGCCGUUGAAACUGUUAUUCUUGAGAGUAGAUAAGGUAGGCGGAAUGUGUUGUGUAGCGGUGAAAUGCAUAGAUAUAACACAGAACCCCGAUUGCGAAGGCAGCUUACCGGGCUACAUCUGACGCUGAUGCACGAAAGCGUGGGGAUCAAACAGGAUUAGAUACCCUGGUAGUCC
rnacentral:rRNA from 1 species